rnacentral:lncRNA from 1 species
CCAAAACAACAUACAUGAUGCCUAAAUCAACAUUCUUAAAUUUAAAGGAACAGUGGACUAAUCUAGACCUUAAUAUAUAAAAUUCCCUAUUAAACUACUGCUCUUUGACAGAUCUUAGUACAGUUGAAAGAAACCAAAGGAAACUAAUAAGGAGCUAGGUAACCUAAGGGAAAACAUAUGUAAAGAAACUGAAAAUCCAUUUCUCAAACACUAAAAUCCUUAUUACAAAUACAUGUAUCAAAAGAACCGACAUGUUUGCACUUCAGUAAUCAUCAAGGUCCAAGAAGUACCUGGAUACAACAACAAAGCAAAAGGGGUAAGGAUUCAGCACAUCAGAGCUAAUGGAAACAGUAGCCAAUAUCAACCAAGAGGGGCAAGAACAGGAGAUCAACAGCAAUAAACCAAAUCCACACUUAAACCAUUCUUAAAUCCCUUGAGAAUCCGAGAAUUUUUAAAAAAGCUUAUGCUAGCUCUUCUUGUAAAAUAUCAUAAAAAGACAUAGAAUAGUGCAAAAACUUUGGGGUAUUUUUCAGGGUCUUGAUCUAUGUUUUUAAGAGUGAGGGGAGGUUCUACUUAUAGGCAACUCAAUGCCAUGUGCUAAAAAAUAGAAAGAUAGGGAAUUAUUCCCUCACACAGCCCCUAAAGGCAUCUUUCUAACAGAAUUGGGACAGCUGUCAACCUCUAAUUGGUUUUAGUAUUUUUGUGAUGGCCAAAUAGGGCCAGCUACCCCAAAUUCUAGAAGCUUCUAACCUUAACCUUAUCUGAAAAUCCUAUUUCUAUUUCUCAAAUUAACUCGUAAGUUUCUAUUUGUUCAAUUAACCCCUCCUAAGUUUCUAAUGAUUUGCAAACUAUGGCAAACAAGAGCAAGACGAGCAAAUAUUGGAAAACAGAAUCAAAUAACAAGCAGAAAUGCAGUUAAACCUUUAGACUAACCCUAAAUUCAUUUAACAUGAACCAAAUUAGCAAUGAAAUAGAAACAGAAAUAACUCAAACCUAAUACUAACACGAGUUUCAAAAGGAAAAUUAUUAAAGCCUAUUAAUAGAUUACUGAGAAGGGAACUUAACAAAUAUCUAACUAAGUAUUGAACAUAAAUACUGAGAUUAGCCUAACUGACUCAUGCAAACUAAACAAGGAAAGUAGGUUUGGAAACUAAAAAGCAAACAAAAAGCAAACAAAACUGUCAUUAAUUACACUAGCCAAAUCAUUUGAACCUUCUAACCUUAAUUAGCUAACCAUGAAAUUCAAAUGACACCAACCUAACAAUGGCGGCUUACUUAACAAAAACAGAGAUGAAUGAAAGCCUUAACAACAUAUUUUUUGUUUGUUUUCAUGGGUUUGAAUCAGCACAAACGAACAAAAGAAUAACAAAAGACAAAAGAACAAGAAAACAAGGAGAGGAAAUACCUACUGAAAGAAGGAGAAGAAAAAACGGACUUGUGUUUGGCUUCGAUAAUGCUUAAAAUCGACCCCAAAUAGUUAUUCUUGUCAAGAAAAACCAUUUGGGGUGAAUCUCAAUACUAUCGAAUUAGAGAAAAAGUGACGAAAGACAGACAUGCACAACCUAGUGCUCUUAGGGUUCUUAGAUCCAGAACUCGCCAAUUUGCAGGAGUUUUUGACGGGGAAUACUUGGUGAUUAGUGGUGAGGGGAAGAAAAUGAUUAUAGGGUGUGAGUUUAGGGCGAUUUGGGUGAAUUAAGGGUUUUAGGGUUGAACUUCAGAUCUGAAAUUGGUGAAUUUGGGUGGUGUUUUUGGGGAAAUUGAUGGUGGAAUGGUGUUGAGGAUGGGCUUAGGGUUGUGGAGGAUGAUUUUGAGCGGUUUUGGAGCACCGGAACCGCCGUGAGGCGAAUUCCGGCGGGUGGCGGUUUAGGGAUCAGGUUGUGACGAUUUAAGAGAGAAGUAGGCGGCUAGGGCUUGAUGAGUUAGAGAUGGGAGUGUAACUGAAG